CUUGGUGCUUCGCUGACGAUUGUCGUGUACGGUUUGAGUAAUGUCUGGGAAACUGCCUGAUGGAGGGGGAUAACUACUGGAAACGGUAGCUAAUACCGCAUAACGUCGCAAGACCAAAGAGGGGGACCUUCGGGCCUCUUGCCAUCGGAUGUGCCCAGAUGGGAUUAGCUAGUAGGUGGGGUAACGGCUCACCUAGGCGACGAUCCCUAGCUGGUCUGAGAGGAUGACCAGCCACACUGGAACUGAGACACGGUCCAGACUCCUACGGGAGGCAGCAGUGGGGAAUAUUGCACAAUGGGCGCAAGCCUGAUGCAGCCAUGCCGCGUGUAUGAAGAAGGCCUUCGGGUUGUAAAGUACUUUCAGCGGGGAGGAAGGCGAUAAGGUUAAUAACCUUGUCGAUUGACGUUACCCGCAGAAGAAGCACCGGCUAACUCCGUGCCAGCAGCCGCGGUAAUACGGAGGGUGCAAGCGUUAAUCGGAAUUACUGGGCGUAAAGCGCACGCAGGCGGUCUGUCAAGUCGGAUGUGAAAUCCCCGGGCUCAACCUGGGAACUGCAUUCGAAACUGGCAGGCUAGAGUCUUGUAGAGGGGGGUAGAAUUCCAGGUGUAGCGGUGAAAUGCGUAGAGAUCUGGAGGAAUACCGGUGGCGAAGGCGGCCCCCUGGACAAAGACUGACGCUCAGGUGCGAAAGCGUGGGGAGCAAACAGGAUUACAUACCCUGGUAGUCCACGCCGUAAACGAUGUCGACUUGGAGGUUGUGCCCUUGAGGCGUGGCUUCCGGAGCUAACGCGUUAGGUCGACCGCCUGGGUUAG
rnacentral:rRNA from 1 species